AACGAACGCUGGCGGCAGGCUUAACACAUGCAAGUCGAGCGCCCCGCAAGGGGAGCGGCCGACGGGUGAGUAACGCGUGGGAAUCUACCCAUCUCUACGGAAUAACGCAUGGAAACGUGUGCUAAUACCGUAUCCGUCCUUCGGGAGAAAGAUUUAUCGGAGAUGGAUGAGCCCGCGUUGGAUUAGCUAGUUGGUGGGGUAAAGGCCUAACAAGGCGACGAUCCAUAGCUGGUCUGAGAGGAUGAUCAGCCACACUGGGACUGAGACACGGCCCAGACUCCUACGGGAGGCAGCAGUGGGGAAUAUUGGACAAUGGGCGCAAGCCUGAUCCAGCCAUGCCGCGUGAGUGAUGAAGGCCCUAGGGUUGUAAAGCUCUUUCACCGGUGAAGAUAAUGACGGUAACCGGAGAAGAAGCCCCGGCUAACUUCGUGCCAGCAGCCGCAGUAAGAC
rnacentral:rRNA from 1 species